GGCUUGGGGCCUCUGGGAGGGUCCAUUCUGUCAGCUGUUCAUCUGUUGGGAGUCGCCAGCGCGCUUUCCCCCGGUCCCCGUGGUAACAGUUGUCUGGCAGGACAGAAGGGGUGGGGGUGAGAGCUGCCACCGUGAACUUCUUCAGCUGCCAGUCAGAUUUCAUCCAGAAAUUUCCAUCCUGGACGAGGAAGGCGCAUGCUGUCAGUGGUAGCUGACUAUCUGGUGUGAGCAAGCAGGACCUCAGCAGAAGCAUUAGACCUAAGCUGGCCUGAAAUUUUUAUAACCGCUAAAGGGCUUGUCCAUUUGUCUUCCUGGAAGGUAAGAAAAAUGAGGCCAGGAAAGGCUGCAUGACUACUCCAAGGUCACAUUGCUUACUGAAGCCGAAGGACAGCUUCCUGAUAUCCAGUGCAAGGUAUUCUGACCACCACAUCGCUGACCUCCAGCAUAAAGAUAUU